AACGCGAAGAACCUUACCUGGAUUUGACAUCUCUGGACAACCGUAGAGAUACGGCUUUCGUAGCAAUACGACCAGAAGACAGGUGCUGCAUGGCUGUCGUCAGCUCGUGUGGUGACAUGUUGGGUUAAGUCCCGCAACGAGCGCAACCCUUGUCCUUAGUUGCCAGCAUUUAGUUGGGCUCUCUAAGGAGACUGCCGUGGUUAACACGGAGGAAGGUGGGGAUGACGUCAAGUCCUCAUGGCCUUUAUAUCCAGGGCGACACACGUGAUACAAUGGACGGUACAGAGGGAUGCGAACCCGCGAGGGGGAGCCAAUCUCAAAAAGCCGUUCUCAGUUCGGAUUGGAGUCUGCAACUCGACUCCAUGAAGUUGGAAUCGCUAGUAAUCGAAGAUCAGCACGCUUCGGUGAAUACGUUCCCGGGCCUUGUACACACCGCUCGCGA
rnacentral:rRNA from 1 species